rnacentral:sRNA from 1 species
UUUUCAUUCUUUUUAAGUAUGAGUCUUCCUAACAUAAAGCUGACAUAAAUGUGAUCUGUUUCCCUUUGUGACAUGCUUAAACGGUCCAGUGUUCACGUCAUUGUAGUUUCAUCACCGGACAUUUGCCGUGUUGUUAUUCCUGUUUAAUGCCCAAAAGUCCAUCUUCAGUGUGGGCUGCUUGUGGGCAUUUGGUGGGCAUUUCUGUGAAAAUUUCUAUAGAUUAGCUCGGGAUAUUGGGUUCAAGUUUCUCCUUCCACUGGACCUGAUGGAAAAUCCACUUCUCAGCGAUGCCCUGGACCGCCCAGCGAUACUGAUUCUCAGUUGUCUCUUAGGCUGGAGAAUCGGGAAGGGAGAAGGCUACGCCGAUCUGGAAUAUGCCAUGAUGGUAUCCAUGGGCGCCAUCAGCAAGGAGACGCCGGUGGUCACCAUCGUCCACGACUGCCAGGUCGUGGACAUCCCUGAAGAGCUUGUUGAGGAGCACGACAUCACCGUGGACUACAUCCUCACUCCAACCAGAGUCAUCGCCACAGGCUGCAAGCGCCCAAAGCCGAUGGGAAUCACCUGGUUCAAGAUCAGCCGGGAGAUGAUGGAGAAAAUCCCCAUAUUGAGGAGCCUCCGUGCCCGAGAGCAGCAGGCUGGGAAGGAUGUCACCCUCCAGGGUGAGCACCAGCACCUUUCGGAACCAGGCCGC